UACGAAGGGGGCAAGCGUUGUUCGGAAUGACUGGGCGUAAAGGGCGCGUAGGCGGUGCGUUGCGUCAGAUGUGAAAUCCCCGGGCUCAACCUGGGAAUGGCAUUUGAUACGGGCGUACUGGAAUCCGUGAGAGGUUGGUGGAAUUCCCAGUGUAGAGGUGAAAUUCGUAGAUAUUGGGAAGAACACCAGUGGCGAAGGCGGCCAACUGGCACGGUAUUGACGCUGAGGCGGCGAAAGCGUGGGGA
rnacentral:rRNA from 1 species